GUGCUAAAUUUAGCAGCACAUAUGCUAAAAUUGGAAUGACACAGAGAAGACUAGCAUGGCCCCUGCACAAGGAUGACAUGCAAAUUCAUGAAGCAUUCCAUAUUUUU
rnacentral:snRNA from 1 species